GCCUCUAUAGCAUAGUGGUAGUGUGUUUGCUUUGUAAGCAAAAGGUUGCAAGUUCAAUCCUUGCUGGGGGCU
rfam:Ipomoea nil DNA, scaffold: scaffold0688, cultivar: Tokyo-kokei standard.